GGCGGUGUGCUGCUCAGCCCGUUCCUGAUUUAUGUGGUGUUGGCGCUGCUGGUGACCGGCGCCUUGCGCCUGCUGUUGCGCCUGACGCCGGUGAGCCGCUGGAUCUGGCAUGAAGCGUUAUUUGAUUGCGCCUUG
rfam:Pseudomonas sp. G5(2012) strain G5 PG5_32, whole genome shotgun sequence.